rnacentral:misc_RNA from 1 species
UUGGACGGUGUACGCCCGGCUUU